UACGUAGGGUGCGAGCGUUGUCCGGAAUUAUUGGGCGUAAAGAGCUCGUAGGCGGUGUGUCGCGUCGGCCGUGAAAACCUGGGGCUCAACUCUGGGCGUGCGGUCGAUACGGGCAUCACUGGAGUUCGGCAGGGGAGACUGGAAUUCCUGGUGUAGCGGUGAAAUGCGCAGAUAUCAGGAGGAACACCGGUGGCGAAGGCGGGUCUCUGGGCCGAUACUGACGCUGAGGCGCGAAAGCUAGGGGAGCAAACGGG
rnacentral:rRNA from 1 species